AAGACACCGAUCGUUAUCACUUGCAGGACAUUCUUAGGUUCAGGUUUUAGUGUGAAAUCUGCUGCAUCUGUAAAUAUCGAUAGCCAUGAAGCUGCUUUUGGCAGGAAUCAUUUUGAUCUCCAUCACUGGAACUGAAGCACAGUGGUACACAUUUCCUGUUGAAGCUGCAAAAGGAGAAACAUAAUAUGGCUCGAGCCUAUGUGCACAUGAGACAAGCCAAUUGUAUUAACGGUGACAAAUACUACCAUGC